rnacentral:rRNA from 1 species
AGCCGCCGCGGUAAUACAGAGGGUGCAAGCGUUAAUCGGAAUUACUGGGCGUAAAGCGCGCGUAGGUGGUUUGUUAAGUUGGAUGUGAAAUCCCCGGGCUCAACCUGGGAACUGCAUUCAAAACUGACUGACUAGAGUAUGGUAGAGGGUGGUGGAAUUUCCUGUGUAGCGGUGAAAUGCGUAGAUAUAGGAAGGAACACCAGUGGCGAAGGCGACCACCUGGACUAAUACUGACACUGAGGUGCGAAAGCGUGGGGAGCAAACAGGAUUAGAUACCCCUGUAGUCCCUGUCUCUUAUACC